rnacentral:rRNA from 1 species
GGUAUCGCCGUUAGUCAUGUGCAAAUAUGGAUAGCUGUUUUAGCCGUCUUUAUUGACUGGUUUAUAAGAGUUAUCAGAUAUCACUUUGAUUAAAUUAGAGUGCUUAAAGCAAGUGUGUUACUUGGAUAUAAAUGCAUGGAAUGAUGGAAUAUGUUGUUAUUCUAUUUGUUGGUUUUUGAAUGAUAAAAUGAUUGAAAGGAACUGUUGGGGGCAUUCGUAUUGUUGUGAGAGAGGUGAAAUUCUUAGACCACAGCAAGACGAACUACUGCGAAAGCAUUUGCCAAGAAUGUUUUCAUUGAUCAAGAACGAAAGUUAGAGGUUCGAAGGCGAUCAGAUACCGCCCUAGUUCUAACCAUAAACUAUGCCAACUAGCAAUUUGCUUUGUAUUUUUUAUGACUAAGUGAGAGGCCACGGGAAACCUAAGUAGGGUUAUGGGGGAAGUAUGGUUGCAAAGCUGAAACUUAAAGGAAUUGACGGAAGGGCACCACCAGGAGUGGAGCCUGCGGCUUAAUUUGACUCAACACGGGAAGACUUACCUGGUCCUGACACUAGAAGGAUUGACAGAUUGAUAGCUCCUUCUUGAUUUGGUGGAUGGUGGUGCAUGGCCGUUCUUAGUUGGUGGAGUGAUUUGUCUGGUUAAUUCCGAUAACGAACGAGACUCUAGCCUAUUAAAUAAUACACGGAAUUUUAUCUUCCGCGGUAUUUCUUAGUGGGAUCAAGCG